rnacentral:rRNA from 1 species
GGGUUGUGAGGUUAAGCGAAUAAGCGUACACGGUGGAUGCCUAGGCAAUCAGAGGCGAUGAAGGACGUGCUAAUCUGCGAAAAGCGUCGGUAAGGUGAUAUGAACCGCUAUACCCGACGAUAUCCGAAUGGGGAAACCCAGUAUCCAAUGGAUACUAUCAUUAACUGAAUCCAUAGGUUAAUGAGGCGAACCGGGAGAACUGAAACAUCUCAGUACCCCGAGGAAAAGAAAUCAACCGAGAUUCCCCUAGUAGCGGCGAGCGAACGGGGAGCAGCCCAGAGUCUUAAUCAAUAGCAG